GACGAACGCUGGCGGCGUGCUUAACACAUGCAAGUCGAGCGGUAAGGCCCUUUCGGGGGUACGACGAGCGGCGAACGGGUGAGUAACACGUGGGUGACCUGCCCUUAGCUCUGGGAUAAGCCUGGGAAACUGGGGUCUAAUACCGGAUAUGACUCCAUGACGCAUGUUGUGGGGUGGAAAGGCCUUGUGCGGCUAGGGGAU
rnacentral:rRNA from 1 species